AGUGAACGCUGGCGGCGUGCCUAAUACAUGCAAGUCGAACGGAAUUUAAGAGAGCUUGCUCUUUUAAAUUUAGUGGCGCACGGGUGAGUAAUAUAUAGCUAAUCUGCCCCUUGCUGGAGGACAACAGUUAGAAAUGACUGCUAAUACUCCAUACUCCUUUUUACCAUAAGAUUAAUCGGGAAAGAAUUUCGGCAAGGGAUGAGACUAUAUCGUAUCAGCUAGUCGGUGGGGUAACGGCCUACCGAGGCUAUGACGCGUAACUGGUCUGAGAGGAUGAUCAGUCACAUUGGAACUGAGACACGGUCCAAACUCCUACGGGAGGCAGCAGUAGGGAAUAUUGCGCAAUGGGGGAAACCCUGACGCAGCAACGCCGCGUGGAGGAUGACACUUUUCGGAGCGUAAACUCCUUUUGUUAGGGAAGAAUAANGA
rnacentral:rRNA from 1 species